rnacentral:rRNA from 1 species
UACAGAGGAUGCAAGCGUUAUCCGGAAUUACUGGGCGUAAAGCGCACGUAGGCGGCUUUGUAAGUUAGAGGUGAAAGCCUGGAGCUCAACUCCAGAAUUGCCUUUAAGACUGCAUCGCUUGAAUCCAGGAGAGGUGAGUGGAAUUCCGAGUGUAGAGGUGAAAUUCGUAGAUAUUCGGAAGAACACCAGUGGCGAAGGCGGCUCACUGGACUGGUAUUGACGCUGAGGUGCGAAAGCGUGGGGAGCAAACAGG